AGAGUUUGAUCCUGGCUCAGAAUCAACGCUGGCGGCGUGCCUAACACAUGCAAGUCGAACGAGAAAGUCCCGCAAGGGAUGAGUAAAGUGGCGCACGGGUGAGUAACACGUAGCUAACCUGCCUUUCAGUGGGGGAUAACCUGGGGAAACUCGGGCUAAUACCGCAUAACAUCCAGGUUGCAUAAGCAGCCGGGAGCAAA
rnacentral:rRNA from 1 species